CCUACGGGAGGCAGCAGUGGGGAAUUUUGCACAAUGGGCGGAAGCCUGAUGCAGCGACGCCGCGUGGAGGAUGAAGGCCUUCGGGUUGUAAACUCCUUUUGUAGGGGACGAUGGUGACGGUACCCUAGGAAUAAGCCACGGCUAACUCUGUGCCAGCAGCCGCGGUAAGACAGAGGUGGCGAGCGUUGUUCGGAAUUACUGGGCUUAAAGGGCGCGUAGGCGGUGGAGUAAGUCUGAGGUGGAAGAUUAGGGCUUAACCCUAAAAUUGCCUUGGAAACUGCAUCACUUGAGUCAGCGAGGGGAUGGCGGAAUUCCAGGUGUAGCGGUGAAAUGCGUAGAUAUCUGGAGGAAGGCCGGUGGCGAAGGCGGCCAUCUGGCGCUGAACUGACGCUGAGGCGCGAAAGCGUGGGGAGCAAACAGGAUUAGAUACCCUGGUAGUCCACGCCCUAAACGGUGGGCACUAGGUGUGGGAUUCGUAAGGGUUCCGUGCCGAAGGGAAACCAUUAAGUGCCCCGCCUGGGGAGUGCGGCCGCAAGGUUGAAACUCAAAGGAAUUGACGG
rnacentral:rRNA from 1 species